rnacentral:rRNA from 1 species
UAACAGUUUGAUUCUAGCUGCCCAAUUAGUUAUCUUUAAUAAAAAUACAUGCAAACUUUCCUGCUCCCGUGAGUAGGCCCCCUUCUUUCCUUAAAUUAAAAAAUAAGGUUACUACCCCGCCAAAUAUAAAAUUAAAUCACAACACUUAAAUAACCUCACGCCUGCAGUAUUUAACCCUGCUUCCAUUUACUAACGUAAGAAACGGAUAAAAGAAAAGAGUUGACCAAAAUCGUGCCAGCAGUCGCGGUUAAACAAUAAACUCAAACUAAUUCCUCCGGGCUCAUCGCGGUAAAAUAACCCUGUGAUAAUAACCAAAGCCCAAAUAAGUUAAAUUUGCUCAGCCCAACUCCUUAUCAUCCAUUAAAUCCGCGAAAGCUAAAACUAAAACAAGGAUUAGAUACCCUUCUAUUCUUAGCUAUAAAUAACUCCACCAGAGAACUACAAGCUCAUGCUUAAAACUCAAAGAACUUGACGGCUCUUCAACCUCCUAGGGGAACCUGUUUUUUAAUCCGAUACUCCCCGUUCACCUCACUUUAUCUUGUAAUUCCAGCCUGUGUAUUGCCGUCGUCAGUUUACCCUGCAAAGGCCCUAGUAAACUCAACGAAACAACUCACAACGUCAGGUCGAAAUGCAGCCAAUGAUAAAGAAAAAAUGGGUUACAAUCUAAAACCAGAUACAGAAUGAGAAUUUAAAAACCCUCACAAAGGCGGACUUAAAAGUAAUAAAAAAAAGAAUUCUUUAUGAAUCCGGCCAUCUGAAGUGUGUACACACCGCCCGUCACUCUCACUGAAAAGCGAGAUAAGUCGUAACAAGGUAGGCGUAACGGAAGUUGCGCCUUCAAAGCA